rnacentral:rRNA from 1 species
GGGGGAAUAUUGGGCAAUGGGCGAAAGCCUGACCCAGCGACGCCGCGUGAGGGAAGAAGGUCUUCGGAUUGUAAACCUUAGUCAACAGGGAAGAAGAAAGUGACGGUACCUGUGGAGGAAGCCACGGCUAACUACGUGCCAGCAGCCGCGGUAAUACGUAGGUGGCGAGCGUUGUCCGGAAUUACUGGGUGUAAAGGGCGUGUAGGCGGAGAUGCAAGUUGGGAGUGAAAUCCAUGGGCUUAACCCAUGAACUGCUCUCAAAAACUGUAUCCCUUGAGUAUCGGAGAGGCAAGCGGAAUUCCUAGUGUAGCGGUGAAAUGCGUAGAUAUUAGGAGGAACACCAGUGGCGAAGGCGGCUUGCUGGACGACAACUGACGCUGAGGCGCGAAAGCGUGGGGAGCAAACAGGAUUAGAUACCCUGGUAGU